CACUUGUUGAUGCUCCAUUCAUGAGGGUAGCGCCAUCUGUUGGGAAAACAUCGUACAACAGGACACAGAGUUGUCAUAAUUUGAUCAAACUUAGAAAGAGGUAUCUAUAUGUAUAGAAGUACUUAUACAAAUGAAAUAUUUAUAAAAGUUUUUCUUUUCCUGAUGUGUGUGUACAUUAUUUUGGCUGACUCUGAACUUAAUGAGUACAAAACUGUCAUUUAAUUGUUGCUCUGAAAGCUUCUUUAGUGAAAACCAGCUGAUGUUCUGCUUUGAAACAAACUGCUGUUGAGGUCUGUGUUUUUAGGUUUAACCCCACAGUUUCUGAAUGAACUGAUAGUUGUUUUUUUCCCCUGAUCAAUGUGGACGCUAUAAUUGAUGGUAACAUUUACUGAUCAUAUAAUCAGCAUGACAGUAUAACAGUAUAACAUUCUGACCACCUGACUAAUACUGUGUUGGUCCCUUUAUGCUGCUAAAACUCCUCUGACCCAGUGGUUCAUCAGAACCUCUGGGGAUGUCCUGUGGAUUCUGUGGAUCCUGUGGGUUGCAGGGUGGGUCCUACCUAGACCAGGCUGAUCCUGGACCAUCCCACAGAUGCUCCAUCAGAUCUGGAUGUGGGGAGUGUGGAACCCAGAUGUUCAGAGGGAGAUGAUGCCACAUCUGGUCCAGCUGAUGGAAGGUCUUGAAGUUCUCUGACUGGCCUCGACUGAAGAUGGUCGUCUCACUGGAUUUAAGGUUCAGAUGCUCAGUAACAAACUCCACCAAUGUGCCAACAGGGAAGCUUUAGGUUUAUUAAAUGUUGCUAUGAAGGUAUCGCUGUUUUUCUUUGUGAAUGCAAUGAGCUCCAACUGAAACUUGAAUUAGAACUUAGAAGUAAAUCCUUCCAUCUGAAAGGAUUUAGUUGCAUUAAUAACCUCAUAACAUUCUAAUUUUUAUUCCAGUCUUGGUUGAAAAUAGAAUCUCUGUAUUGAUUCAGGUAAAAACUGAACUUCACAGCAUGUUGGAGCAAAACAACCAGAUGAAAACUGUGAUGGUGUUGGAUUGUCAGACCGUAAUGUUGCAGCUCAAAGCAGCUUUUCUAGCUCAGUUCAUUCUGACAUUCAGCUAUGAAUCAACACAGCAGAUGGUGAUCCAUGCUGUGGAAGUCUCACAUCUCCUGAUUUAAUGGAGCUGCUUUGCACUUUUUACACUGUUUAUUCACCAACACUUUAUUUAAUAAAAGUCCCAUCUAGUUUUUAUGAGGAAUGUGAUGUUUUAAUUUCUCUGUGAAUAACUGCAGUCUAAUGCAACAGCUGGAAUUGUAACAUCUGUCCUGAUAUUGAUCAUGAAAUAUUGAUCAGAAUACUUAUGGUUAGCAGUCAUCCCUGAAGUUUUACAUUAAAAUCUUUACUUGUGUUGUGAACUUUGGUAAGAAGCAGAAACGUUAGUGUUGCCAUGGAUACAUGAGUAUUAAAUUCUGUCCAUGUUUCCAUUUUGGGAAAUUCAGUCCAGUUCCAGAAUGUGGAGGAAUUUAGUCUCAAUCACAGACAACAAAUAUUAUCUGAAAGUCGGGUUAUUGUUGUUUAUCAGCACAAUAGAUUAAUGUUAGAAAUAUUCCAGUUAAGACUCUAGAAUAUCAUGAUUUAUGUAAAUUUACCUCAAUAAUAUGAAUGUUCAGGUUAAGGUUGUGCAGUGAUAUUUAUUAUAUGUGUAUGUAAGUUUAGCUGAUUAAAGUUUAUUACUCUGCACUAAAAUAUUAUUUAAAUUGACAUCAUUAUUAUAAUAUUUAGGGUCAGACCCUACAGUAUUGAGAUUAAGAAAUCAAAUAUUCUAUAAAAUGUAAAUACACUGAACUCAUUUGGAUAUAUUUAAGUGAGACUCUACAAUAUUAUUUGCCCCAAAUCUAUCUAAAUCAAAAUUUUAAUCAUUUUUACUCCAAACAUUUACUGAUUUAAAUAUUAAAAUCACUCCUUUCUAAUCCUCUGCUGUACGUUCAAACCUGAGGCCUUAAAUAGAAACACACAAGUAUCUGAUUGAAGGAACUUCUGCAGAGUCCUGGUUCCAGAACAUGAUGAUAGAAUUAUAGACAAACUUUAACAAAAGCUGCCUGAGAGUUUACAGGUUUUUAUGUUAGAUUUCUUCAGUAAUUUAAUGAGCGUUAUCAGCAAAAAUCAAGUGUUCAUUUGAUGAACUUUAUUUCCUAAAACAUCCAGAAUUGGAGCUCAUAUCUUUGGCAGCUGUAAAGUUUCUGCUCCUUCAAAGUUCACAACACAAUGAAUGAAUUCCUAAAACACUCUCAAUGCUGGAGAGUGUUUGUGAUGCUGAAGCAGUGACCAGUUUUUCUGUUUCUUCUCUGGAGAUGCACAAUGAGGGACGUCUGCAGCGACUGAGAAAGAGUCUCACCACAUCCUGACAUGAGGAAAAAGACUUUAUUGAAGACUACAAUGAGAAAAACUAUCAGACAGCAGACGGCAUGCAUUCAAGGUGAGCUCUGAACAUUUGAUCUGGAACAGGAAUUCAAUAACUGCAGCAUGAGCUUCAUUUCAGUCUGCAGCUGCUGAAUUCAUGGAUGAAUCAUCUGGCACUAGAGAAGAAGACCAUCAAACAUCCACGUCAGCUGAUGGAGGUCCAAGAGUCUCACCGAACAACCAACCUACAGAGUGAAGACCUCGAAUCUGAUUGGACGGCCUCCUAUUCAGCCACAUGUGUGAACAAAUGCCUCUAAGUUGAUUUGUUUUCUAAAAUAAAUCUAGUUUGAGUCCUAA